rnacentral:rRNA from 1 species
AAAAACAACAGGGAUUGCCUCAGUAACGGCGAGUGAAGCGGCAACAGCUCAAAUUUGAAAUCUGGCUCCUCUGCGGGGUCCGAGUUGUAAUUUGUAGAGGGUGUUUCGGGCGCGGUGCCGGUCUAAGUCCCUUGGAACGGGGCGUCAUAGAGGGUGAGAAUCCCGUAUGCGACCGGCGGCCAACCCCAUGUGAAACCCCUUCGACGAGUCGAGUUGUUUGGGAAUGCAGCUCAAAAUGGGUGGUAAAUUUCAUCUAAAGCUAAAUACCGGCCAGAGACCGAUAGCGCACAAGUAGAGUGAUCGAAAGAUGAAAAGCACUUUGGAAAGAGAGUCAAAAAGUACGUGAAAUUGUUGAAAGGGAAGCGCUUGCAACCAGACCUGCCCGCGGGUGAUCAGCCGUCCCUUCGGGGGCGGUGCACGCGCCCGCGAUCAGGCCAGCAUCGGUUCGGGCGGCCGGAUAAAGGCUUCGGGAACGUAGCUCCCCUCGGGGAGUGUUAUAGCUCGGGGCGCCAUGCGGCCUGCCUGGACCGAGGACCGCGCUCCGGCAAGGAUGCUGGCGUAAUGGUUGUAAGCGGCCCGUCUUGAAACACGGACCAAGGAGUCUAACAUCCAUGCGAGUGUUUGGGCGUCAAACCCAGGCGCGCAAUGAAAGUGAACGGAGGUGGGACCCCCCCGAGGGCGCACCAUCGACCGAUCCAAAUGUCUUCGGAUGGAUUUGAGUACGAGCAUGGCUGUUGGGACCCGAAAGAUGGUGAACUAUGCCUGAAUAGGGUGAAGCCAGAGGAAACUCUGGUGGAGGCUCGCAGCGGUUCUGACGUGCAAAUCGAUCGUCAAAUUUGGGUAUAGGGGCGAAAGACUAAUCGAACCAUUUAGUAGCUGGUUCCAGCCCAACUUUCCCUCAGGAAUCUUUCUUU